GAUGAACGCUGGCGGCGUGCUUAACACAUGCAAGUCGAACGAAGCACUUUACUUGAUCUCCUUCGGGAUUGAUUGUUCUGUGACUGAGUGGCGGACGGGUGAGUAACGCGUGGAUAACCUGCCUCACACAGGGGGAUAACAGUUGGAAACGGCUGCUAAUACCGCAUAAGCGCACAGCACCGCAUGGUGCAGUGUGAAAAACUCCGGUGGUGUGAGAUGGAUCCGCGUCUGAUUAGCUGGUUGGCGGGGUAACGGCCCACCAAGGCGACGAUCAGUAGCCGGCCUGAGAGGGCGACCGGCCACAUUGGGACUGAGACACGGCCCAGACUCCUACGGGAGGCAGCAGUGGGGAAUAUUGCACAAUGGGGGAAACCCUGAUGCAGCGACGCCGCGUGAGCGAUGAAGUAUUUCGGUAUGUAAAGCUCUAUCAGCAGGGAAGAUAAUGACGGU
rnacentral:rRNA from 1 species